AGCAGCCGCGGUAAUUCCAGCUCCAAUAGCGUAUAUUAAAGUUGUUGCAGUUAAAAGCUCGUAGUUGAAUUUCGGGAUCAAUACGUCGGUCGUGCUUCGGUACGUACUGGCGUAAUUGAUUUCUCCCUUCUGACGAACCAUGAUGUCAUUAACUUGGUGUCAUGGGAAAUCAGGACUGUUACUUUGAAAAAUUAGAGUGUUUAAAGCAGGCUCACGCUUGAAUACAUUAGCAUGGAAUAAUGAAAUAGGACGUUCGAUCCUAUUUUGUUGGUUUUUAGGAUCAACGUAAUGAUUAAUAGGGAUAGGUU
rnacentral:rRNA from 1 species